CUGAUCCUGUGCAACUCCUUCAGUGACCCACCAUCUUCAACCAGACAUUGACAGCCAACAGUUUUUGGUUGAUGCCCGCCUUCAUGUUGAAGAAGAUUGUCCUGGGGAACUUCGCUAAAGGACCUGUCGACCCCAAGAUGGCUGACGCAAUCGACUUUAUGGUCGACAGACUGGAGAGCCUGAACCAGGGUGAGCUAGCCUCCAGACUAACACUCAACUGUCAGAACUCCUACGUGGAGCCUCACAAGAUAAAGGACCUGGCCGUCACCAUUAUGGAUGUGUUCGACCAGAGUGCCCUGUCACACGAGGCGAAAGAGGAAAUGUAUAAGCUGUAUCCAAAUGCCAGACGGGCUCACCUCAAAACGGGUGGAAACUUCCCCUACCUGUGUAGGAGUGCUGAGGUCAACCUAUACAUACAGAUUCACCUGCGGCAGUUCCACGGGACGCGGUACGCCGCCAUCAACUUGGACAUGGUGAGCGCCGAGGAGCUGGAGGUGCAGAAGAGCCACCUGGUGAAUAGCGCCAACGACCAAUGACGAGACUGUUACCCAGCACCUUCUUCUCUCUCCCAGCUCUGACCGGCAGGCCAGAACCAUAGAACCGGAUUGGCUGAUUCUGUGGGGCAGAACUAUGGGAACUACAUUUCCCUGACCAGCAAAACAGCCAAGAAAAUGUCAGCCAUAGAAAUGAGAAUGACUCAAUUCUAUUUCUGUAUUUCUAUGAUCAACCAUCAUCACCCAGUCACCACGACUGGUCACACGGAUCCACUUGGUAAAAAGGUCAUCUCUUCACCUGAUCUCCUUCCUGUUUUUUCUACGAUAUUGAAUACAAUCAAUCCACAAGUUGAACUGAUACUAUUUUUACUUUACAGUUAAAUAUCUAUUUUAAUUCUCACUGUUACUGUAAAUAGAGCGUAAUUGGCUACGUUGCUUUGAGAGAAGAAACGCCAUACGAUGCCAUGUUAUGAACCUUUUGCCUUAUGUGAUAUAAAUCUCAUGCAUUUAAUUGAUGUUGCACUUUUGAAUUCCAUGUUUUUCCUUCUAUGUUUAUGGUUAACUCUGCCAACCGUGGCGAUACUUGGUAAGCUAGAAAACCUGCACUGAUUAGAUAUACAGCUGAGGAUGUUAGUCGGAAGAAAUGAUGUAUAAUGUUAAAUUUAAUUUGUAAUUGAAUAAAGCCUUCUUGAAAACAUG